AUUGAACGCUGGCGGCAUGCUUUACACAUGCAAGUCGAACGGUAACAGGGAGCUUGCUCCGCUGACGAGUGGCGAACGGGUGAGUAAUAUAUCGGAACGUACCCAAGAGUGGGGGAUAACGUAGCGAAAGUUACGCUAAUACCGCAUACGAUCUAAGGAUGAAAGCAGGGGACCUUCGGGCCUUGUGCUCCUGGAGCGGCCGAUAUCUGAUUAGCUAGUUGGUGAGGUAAAGGCUCACCAAGGCGACGAUCAGUAGCUGGUCUGAGAGGACGACCAGCCACACUGGAACUGAGACACGGUCCAGACUCCUACGGGAGGCAGCAGUGGGGAAUUUUGGACAAUGGGCGCAAGCCUGAUCCAGCAAUGCCGCGUGAGUGAAGAAGGCCUUCGGGUUGUAAGGCUCUUUUGUCAGGGAAGAAACGGGAGUGGCUAAUAUCCAAUCCUAAUGACGGUACCUGAAGAAUAAGCACCGGCUAACUACGUGCCAGCCGCCGCCGUAACAC
rnacentral:rRNA from 1 species